UGGGGAAUAUUGGGCAAUGGACGAAAGUCUGACCCAGCGAUUCUGCGUGAAGGAUGAAGCCUUUCGGGGUGUAAACUUCUUUUUUGGAGGAAGACGAAUGACGGUACUCCAAGAAUAAGGGACGGCUAACUACGUGCCAGCAGCCGCGGUAAUACGUAGGUCCCGAGCGUUAUCCGGAGUUACUGGGCGUAAAGAGUCUGUAGCUUGUUGUAUAAGUUUACUUUCAAAUACCUCGACUCAAUCGAGGAAAGGGAGUAAAUACUGUACAACUAGAGGUAUUUAGAGGUUAGUGGAAUUCCCAGUGGAGAGGUGAAAUUCGUUGAUAUUGGGAGGAACGCCGAAAGCGAAAGCAGCUAACUAUAAAUAUCCUGACGGUGAGAGACGAAAGUUUGGGUAGCAAACGGG
rnacentral:rRNA from 1 species